rnacentral:lncRNA from 1 species
CUCUCAUUCUCUCCUUCAUGGCUAUACGUAGUAAGUGUUGUUUGACUAUUGGUAUUAGAAAAUACCCUUAGAAGACUAAUAUUAAAAGUAUCUUUUUAACGUAUUAAGUUAUUUCAAAUAUAACUCUAGAAUUAAUUCUAUUAGUGAACAGUUGAAAAGAUACUAGAAGACUAUAUUAAAAGUAUCUUUUUAACGUUCUAAAUUAUUUCAAAUAUAACUCUAGAAUUAAAUUAUAUUGUGAACAGUUAGUAAUGGUCGUUAUCUCUGUGAAAUUAUUAGUUUGCCCUUUCAAAUGUACCCUUUUAUAUUUACCAAUUUUUUUUAUUUGCCUUUAAGUUACAGGCAAAAAAAGUAUUUUAAAUUUUUUGUCUUUUCAAAUAUAUUCUUCUACGUACCAUCACCGAUUUUUUUUAUUUGCCUUAAGUUAGGGACAAAAGAGGUAUUUUGACAUCUCUUUAACUUAAGUAGAAAUUCAACUCGGGUUUAACACGAGAUGAUAUAGCGGGUAAAAACAGUAGGGGUAUUUUUGAAUAACAGAGAAAUAUAUGAGUGUAUUUGAAAUAAAAAAAAAAAGUAAAUGUAUAUAUAAGAUAUUUCAAAAGUUUUCAUGGGUAUAUUAGAUAUUAUCCACUAAAAAAAACUAGCAAAUGUAAGU